UAGGUCAUUAUUUUAUCCAUCAGAUUUAUGUCACAUGAAUUUCUAUUAAUAAAUGAUCCAAAUAUUAUACACUGCUUAUUUCUAUGACUCUCAUAGGUUUUGGAUGUGGGUUGGGUCCUUCUCCCAUGGUCCGGUGCGGUGCAUUCAGAACAUUCCUAAAUCGGCUUUCUAGGGUUUUCUUUUGCUCUUUUUCUUUCUUUCUCAAUCAUCUCCAUAAACAUUAUCUUAUUUAAGGUUGCCCGUUGCAAAUUUGUAUUCCGGUUUAGAUUUGCAUUCGUUCGGUAAGAAUUAAAAAGUACGCCUAUUUUCGAUGUAAAAAUGUGCAUAGAACAAGGCUUGCAUAAAAAAUAGGUGAAAAUAUUGCUUUAAUUUUGCCACGGUUUUGAUCGAAGUAAAUAAGUAGGUUUCCCUGAAGCAAAAAAAAAAAAAAACCGGUUUCCAACUGUUUUGUCUUCGGUUAUGCGUUUGCGAUAGAUCUGAACUCCAAAUCCAUCCAUCUGCCGACGUAAUGAGAGAUCUGAACUCUCAUUUUGAUUUUCUUUUCGUUUUUAGGUCACUUCCCUCGUCGGAAGAGAGAUCUGAACUCCAAAUCCAUCGAUUUGCCUUUUCCUGAGAGGUUAUAAAUUCGAAAGGUAAGGAAGGUGGACGAAAGCAGGGUGAUGGCGUCCUAAGAUUAAAAACGGCGAAAAGAGGAGUAUGAAGAAGUGCAGAGUGGAUUUGGAAAAUGUAGCAGAGGAAAUCAUCUACAACAUCCUGGUGAACAUCCCGGCCCGCACACUCUAUGAUUUGAGGCCASUCUGCAAGCUUUGGUAUAAWCUCAUGGAGUAUCCAGAGUUCUACUGUUAGCCAAAGUUAUAGCCUGAUUUGUAAUGUAGAUAAUCAAGAAAGAGAAAAGAGAAUAUAAGGACAGAAGAGAUUCAGGGGUUUCAAAUCAUAGAGAUGGUUUAGUUGUUGUAAAUGAGAAACUCAAUGAGUGCAAUUAGUCAAGGAAAUCUUCACUAUCUAAGGGUGUAUUGAAGACUUUGAAUCAUUUUGAAAGAUUUGGGAGAGAUAUGAAAGUGCUUUUGCUUACUAAGGUUUAUGUUGUAAAUGUUCUAGGAUGCCCGGGCAGCUAAUUCUAUGCCUUUUGGACGCUCCAUAGUUGCUAUUCAAAAAGAAUAGUAAUCGUUGGCGUGAAGAGGAGAGAGAAACUGGCUUAUUUGGUAGAAGAGACCGUUGUAUUUGCAUUGAUGGUGGGAGUAGUAGCUGGUUGUUUUUAUAUUGUUAUUUUUUAUCAAGGUGCCCAUUGUAUGCCCGUUGUACGCCCGGGCAGCUUGUUAUUUUUUAUAUUUGUUUAAUGGUGUGGAACACCAUUUGGUAGCAAGAAACAGCUGUAUUUGCAUUGAUAGAAAUGUCAAACAUCCACAAAAAUUGUAUUCUUA